UUACGGACAUACCCAUGUUGAAUCACUGGUCGUUAUACGAUCACCGAAGUUAAGCAACGUCCAGCUUGGUCAGUACCUAGAUGGGUGAAUUCUUGGGAACAUCAGGCGCUGUAAG